rnacentral:misc_RNA from 1 species
AGAGGCAAGGAUUGAUGAGCUGGAACAGUCAAGUCAUCAAAGUUGUUAAUGGAUGAUGUUGUUAGUUUGCAAGUAGUCUAUUACUUGUUUAGACUUGAGACUUUCAGUUUGCAACAGAAAUAUAGCUGGUAUAAAUAGGAAAUUACAUGUAAAAGAAUACAUUCAUGAUCAUUGAUCAAUAAUAGAAAUUGGAACUUUCGAAUGAUCACUCCUAUCCUCUCUUUCCCACACAUUCCCAUCGUUUCCCUCUGAACAAAAAUUCUCCUUAGAACCAGGCUCUCAAUAAUGAAUUCAGGUCCCAACAUUUAUAUGUCUCUCUCUUAACUCUGUUAACUCUCUUUCGUUCACUUUCUCAUCUUUUACCUCUAGACAAACAUUCACAUUAGAUGCACGUCCUAACAUUUAUAUGAGUGACCUUGUUCCUUAAAGCCCUAGGUGUUUAGAGGGCUUUCUUUUAAAUUUUUAUUUGGCUUCUCACUAACUAGGUCAUUUACGUAAAAAGGCAUAUGCUCAACAAAACAACCAUUUCAAAGUUUAUUUGUUUUAAUGUUUAUUUGGACAAUUAGCCUUUUUAUUUGUCAAUUUUUU